UUCCAAUUUGAUAUUCAAAUGCAAUGAUUUUUAUGUGAACACUGAUCAAUUUGGACCACCCUCACCAGCAUCGCUGUCAAGUAUUUGGAAUCAUUCAUGUGCUGAACAUUUUUCGGCUUUGACAGUAUCUGCUGUGAGCUUCAUGCAAAUCCCACAAGUGCAAGAAUUUUAGGUUCUAUAUAAUUUCAGCAUCCCCUUUUUGAGGGUAAGAUCACUGUGGUGGCCAAAGGAGAUUAAAGUUGGAAGACACAUAUCCAGGACUGCAAGGAGAUCAAAGAAUCAGCUACUUGCUGUAUUUCAGGACUUAGCCAAGCUCCAUAUCUGUCUUCAAGUUCCUGAGGAAUGUCAUAGUGAGUCAAAGUCACAAAUGGUUGGAUACCUGAAAUCAGAAGAAGUAAAUACGAGAAUAAAAAGACUACGAUCACAUUGUGACAGUUUUGCAGCUGCCGGAAGUACUUUGACCAGAUGAAAGAUGGUGGAAAUGGUAUAUACCUCUACG